CCCCACGCUAUCCACCCAGAACUGGAACCCGAAGUCGACGGCGUGGGCCGGCGUGGAGGCGAGGAUGGCCAACACCUGGAAUGACCACGAGAACUCCAGCCACAGGAACGCCAUGGCCACGGAUGGGGUGUGCGCGAACACCCGGGCAGCGACCCCGCGCCGGCGCUGCAACACCGCGAACACGCCGCGAGCCGCAUGGAGGUACCGGGAGAGGUAGUAGGCGUAGGACAAGAAGACGCACCCCGAUGAGCGGGUCCCCGGCGGGAAGCAGGGGAGCCACCGAAGCGGCAUGGUCUGACUUCGGCGUCGCCACGACCAUGUGUCCGUAUCCAUGCAGCAGGCAGCCAUCGAGGAGAAAGAGCUCCUCCCAUGGACCCCAGCUGCAGCUCGCCGGAGAGCCCCAACGUCAUGGACGCUCGAGCUCUGAACCACCUCUCGCCGACCACUGCCGCUACUGCGUUCGUCUACAGGGAGUCUCCAAGCUUCGUCGGGAGCCUCCUCGCUGGCGAGACCUUCCGCCGCUUGACCCCUAUGGCCGCGGCACGGGCGGUGGCCUUGCAGCGGCUGCGGAAACGCACGUCAAACUGGCAGUGGAGGGACUCGUCCCUGAGGAAAUUGUACGAGCUGGCGAGGCUCUGGAAGUCGGCCGUGGCGUUGGGGUCGCCGGGGCGCUUGUCGGGGUGCCGGAGGCGCGAUUGCGUCCUGUAGGCUUUCUCGAUCCGCUCGACGCUCAGUGCCGCGGCUUCCUGGCCAGAGGGGAGGCGGAGCACCUCGUAAUGGUCGUCGUCGACUCGUCAUGUCCCUCUCGCCCCGUGACAACCAUGGCGAAUCGGCGAAACCGCGCCCCUCAGAUCAGAUGCCGAAGACGCGUACGGUUAUGAGGCGUUGUGCGAGUAGUUCAGGUGCCCGCAAGCCGGGAGAGUCGGCGCUCGGGUUUUAUUUAUUUAUUUCUUACUUAGGGGUGGCAGUGGGGUAAAUGUUAUCAACUUUCAGGACACUUUAAUGACAGUGAGCAGGCAGAAGGGAUAGCUGCUUUAUUAUUAGGAAAAGAUAUAUGCGCUUCUGCCCGCCUGUCGUGCCUUUUUACAGAAAACCCCCUACACUUUAUUGAAAUUAACUCAUAGUUCAAGUUUUACUGAGUCUAGAAAAAAGUUCUGUUUUGCGAAAAACAACCUGUAGUUUUUGUAAAUUAACCAGCGGUCAUAUUUUAUGUGAGAAAAAAAAUUGUUCGUUGUUUUUUAGUAAAUCCCCCGUUCUUUUGCUUGAUCAACAUGUGGUUCUAUUUUAGGCGAGUUUAAAGGCUUUUUUUAAAUAUCCAUAUCUUUUAAACCCUAACUCUAAUUUUGUCAUGUUAUAUAUGAAAUUGAUUAAAAAAUGUGUAGAAUCUGAAUAUUAUGUUAUUUUACCUAUUAAACAUUAAAAAAAGGAUAUUUAUUGUGCAAUCUUAAUCAAUAGUGCAUGGUUCGUCUUUAUUUCGUACCAGUGUAGAUCCGGAUUAGAAAUCAGCACCUUAGGAAAUUUGUUUCAAGACGGAAAAAAAAUCAUCUAUAGCCACACAUGUAUGCCUCGUCAAAAACCUCCAGGUGAAAAAAGAAACGACAUUUCUCAUCUUAUACGGAGAGAGAUGCCUUAGGAUUGACUAUAUUCAAACAUUGUGUGAGCAUCGAGGCCAUCGUCAAAGAGGGUGUGAAGGAGGAUAAGCGGCAACACAGAUGGGAUGCACGACCUGUUGGGUCCUCAGUCAUGAUUAUUAUGUUAGAGACGUGUGGUAUUUUUUUCACCAGUUGCAACGCACAUACUCCUUAAUACAAAUAAUAAGGAUUGAUCCGGUUUACUAACAAAUAUUACUCCCUCUUCCGAAUACAUUUGAGAAAUAAGUUUGGGACAAGUUUUUUCGGACGGAGGGAGUAUUUAACUAUGCAGGCCCACAUUAAGAACAUAGACUAAUUACAUGCAUUCUUCUUGUUUUGUAGGUGGCCGCAUGAAUUGCGUUCGUCCUCACUUUAGCUUAUUUAGCUACAAGGAUGCUUCAAACAUCAAAAGUGCAAGUGCGUUGUAGGAAAUUCCUUGCAUCAGACCGUAAGCAUUCUAAUCAAUUUAAUUAAUCUUAUAAAAUCACAACAUCUUAGUUACUGUAGACCGCAAUUACUCUAGGAUAGAGACAUCAUAGCAGUGUAUAGGUGGCUCAGAAGUCAUCACGUGGGAUAGGUUGAAAAGUGUGUGGGCUGUCGGGAGAGGAUUUGUAGCACGAAGGUGUCGGGCACACAACCCGCCUUUUUUUUUGGUUUUUGAUUUUCAAUCUUUCGUAUCUUUUAAAUUAAAAA